UUCUAAAUUCUAGCGAUGUCUCCUUGUAUUUGAUUCCCCUACCCUAGGUAAAAGAUUCUGUGCAUUCACCCGACCUAUUCCCUUCAUGAUUUUAUACAGAACUAUAAGAUCUCCCUCAGCCUUCUCCUGUAAAUAUGGUGAAGACUGCUGUUUCCCCCUGUCUUUUUGGUUGCUAGUUCCAGCCCCGUUAAGUUAUUAUUUUAUAGAAAUCUCUGAGCUGAAGCGAGGAGAUUCCGUCACAUUCUGCAGGAAAUGAUGAGAGACUGUAAGAUCCAGAUGGUUUGUCAACACAUGGAGUGGUUGUUGCCAGUUCCCAGCUAUGGACCGUACUGACUGUGCUAGUUGGGGUGCAGACUCGAGCCCCAAUCUCACUGCUGCUGACCCUGGUCUGCUCAACGUCAGGUCUCAUGGGCAGCCUCUACAAACCAAGCAAAGAAGAGCGGGAAUUUGUGCCAAUUUGUGCCAAGUAUUUGACACAACAGUGCGUUCAGACUUGGCUAUCAGAAUAGAACCAUUCAUGGGAGCUUUCAGCAAAUCCCCAAGCUUCAGUAUUAGCCAGCCUGUCCUUUUUAGUGUGUGACUUGUACAGCAACAGAUGUGGGCUAUUUGAUAGCAUUGGAGUUAAUCCAGAAAUUUAGCCAACACUUAUCACUCAAGCAUCUAGAACAGAUGAUCUGCUCAUUAUCAUAUUGCUGUCAUUGAGACCCUGUGUGCUAAUUGUCUGUUUCUACAUUCCUAUGGGGACUGCUUUUCUAAAGUACUUAAUGGGUUGUAAAGCACAGUGGGGGCAUCUGGAGGUCAUGAACCACAGCUUAAUUUGAAGAAUCAGUUAUGUAAAAUGACUGAGAUUUUAUUUGUCAGCAUGUGUGAAAAUAAAUGGAUGUUGGUAAAUGGUAA